GGCCCUCCGGCCUCCUCCGGCCCCGGACCCGGGCUCCCCUGUCAUCGCCGCUCCAAGCCCGACCUCCCUCUGGUGUCGCCUUGCUCCGCUGCUGCCCCAAAAGCUGGAUCGAUGGAGCUCCAGUUCCGUCCGAUCGGACCCGGCCGGAAAACCACUUUUCCGGCUAUGCACUGGCCGAUCGUUCCCAUUUUCGUGAUCUCCUCCUCAUGCUGAUCAUCCCCAUACGGCUGAGAUUAAUCUGAACUUCAAAGCUUGAUCUAGGACGAUCUAGGCCUAACCAGACUUAGCUCCAGGUGAUUGAUGGUCUUCCUUGGUGAGCGGUUUUGGCGUGUUUUGUGAAAUUGAAGACGC